GGUGCGCGCCGCCCAACGGUCCGCCCGCCCGCCUGCCGCGUGUGUCUCCGCUGCUGCGCGCGCUCCCGCUGGCUCUCCACCACCGGUCUCUUCCCAGUCUGGCAGGCCGCUUAGCUCGACGUGGAGUGGGAGUGGCGCCAAAAUUCAAACGAACUGCCGCAGUUGCAGGCGUGGUAUCGCCUGCUUCGAGAAGGUUGGCAGCCAGGAGUGGCCUUGACCUCACCCCAACUCUAACCCGGUGGCAGCCGCGCUGGGGAAGGGCAGAACUACACAGGUGCCUCUGAGGCCUCACCUUAGGACUGUUGGCAAGCCUGGAGGGUUCUCCAGGACUGAACUACAACAUCCUGGUGUCUGCUUGCCUAGAGGACUGGCAAAGAUAGGACCUCGUUGACCGUGCUGCAGGCGGGCUGAUCGUAAAUCAGUUAAGAAACGAGUCAGCUUCUUAAAGGAGUCUAAAACCUACUGAUGUAGCCACCUUAGGGUCCUUCAUGAUUGCUUUUUACUUCAAAGAACUGUGUAAAAAGACCAGACACAGCAGGGAGUCUUCGGACUUUUCACAUGAAUGCUUUCAAGCAUCUGUGGCAAUAUCUUAGUUUACAUAUGCAGUCAACUGGACAGCAGACACAACUCUUCAUGGAUGGGCAGCACCCCUGAACUACAUGCUGUACUCUCAGCCAUGAUGCUAUUGUCUUCAGAUCUUCUUAGAUGAAUGGAAGGCUCAACCAAGGAAGCAAGGGCAUCCCACAGCAUGAACAGACUCAUGUUUUCACUUUCUCUCUGUAUACAGUUUUGAGAGCCAGGAAUUCUUAGGUUGUUUUCUGAAGCAAGGAUGAUAACAAUAUCCAGGCACAAAUGCCAAGGAGACCAAUGAGAUAAUAAACUAUAAAUUUCAA